UACGAAGGGGGGCUAGCGUUGUUCGGAUUUACUGGGCGUAAAGCGAGUGUAGGUGGUUGUCCAAGUUGGAUGUGAAAGCCUUGAGCUCAACUCAAGAAAUGCAUUCAGGACUGGGUGACUAGAGGACCGGAGAGGAUAGUGGAAUUCCCAGUGUAGUGGUGAAAUACGUAGAGAUUGGGAAGAACACCAGUGGCGAAGGCGGCUAUCUGGACGGUUUCUGACACUAAGACUCGAAAGCGUGGGGAGCAAACAGG
rnacentral:rRNA from 1 species